rnacentral:rRNA from 1 species
AAAAACAUUUCUUAUAAAUCUUUAUAAGUAAAAUCUGCUCCAUGAUUAUAAAUAGCCGCAGAAUUUUAACUGUGCUAAGGUAGCAUAAUCAUUUACCUUUUAAUUAAAGGUUUGUAUGAAUGAUUUUACAAUUAAAUUACUUUUUUAUAAAUUUCCAUUAAACUUAAAUUAAAAAUAAAAAUGUUUUUAUAAAAUAAAAAGACGAUAAGACCCUAUUGAACUUUACUAACGUUUAGCUGGGGAAGCUAGCCAAAUAUAAUUUUGGCUUAAAAACAAUUUUACUAUCCUAAUAAAAUUAUUAUAACAAGUUACCAUAGGGAUAACAGCGUAAUACAAUUUUAAAGCUCAUAUUAAAAAUUAAGCUUACGACCUCGAUGUUGAAUU